UGGGGAAUAUUGCGCAAUGGGGGAAACCCUGACGCAGCCAUGCCGCGUGAGUGAAGAAGGUCUUCGGAUCGUAAAGCUCUUUCAACGGUGAAGAUAAUGACGGUAGCAGGUAAAGAAACCCCGGCUAACUCCGUGCCAGCAGCCGCGGUAAUACGGAGGGGGUUAGCGUUGUUCGGAAUUACUGGGCGUAAAGCGCACGUAGGCGGACCAGAAAGUUGGGGGUGAAAUCCCGGGGGCUCAACCCCGGAACUGCCUCCAAAACUAUUGGUCUAGAGUUCGAGAGAGGUGAGUGGAAUUCCAAGUGUAGAGGUGAAAUUCGUAGAUAUUUGGAGGAACACCAGUGGCGAAGGCGGCUCACUGGCUCGAUACUGACGCUGAGGUGCGAAAGUGUGGGGAGCAAACAGGAUUAGAUACCCUGGUAGUCCACACCGUAAAACGAUGAAUGCCAGUCGUCGGGUAGCAUGCUAUUCGGUGACACACCUAACGGAUUAAGCAUUCCGCCUGGGGAGUACGGUCGCAAGAUUAAAACUCAAAUGAAUUG
rnacentral:rRNA from 1 species